AGGAAAGAAAGGUUUUCAGGGAAGCGGUAGACAAGUUCCUUCAGCUCAACACGAAGUCACUGGCCCGGCCUGGCACCCAGAGGUAAAGAAUAGCAGAAAAAGAGAGAGGAACUCUCGCAAACCCAUCCUGCUCCUGCUCACUGGGUCAUUAGAAACAAAACAGAUCUGGUGAAGGGUCUGCUGUAAAGCAGCUUGUCUUGUGUCUGCAGAUUUUCACGGACUGCUCCCUCCUGCCAGCAGAGGACCUGUAACACUGCCCCGAUUGAAGUCAGGGAACAAUUCACAGAUCGGAGGAACAUUUCUGAAUGACGCUCAGAUGACAGAGAAACGAAGUUUGCAUAAUUUCAGCAGUAAUGCAAGAAAAGAUGAGUGUGCGUGUUGUAAGGGAGGGAGGGAUGCAGAAAGGGUUGAAAUCUGUAAUAAACUGCCUCCAAGAAAACAG
ensembl:lncRNA novel transcript